UACGUAGGGUGCGAGCGUUGUCCGGAUUUAUUGGGCGUAAAGAGCUCGUAGGCGGCUUGUUGCGUCGACCGUGAAAAUCCGGGGCUCAACCCCGGACUUGCAGUGGGUACGGGCAGACUAGAGUGUGGUAGGGGAGACUGGAAUUCCUGGUGUAGCGGUGGAAUGCGCAGAUAUCAGGAGGAACACCGAUGGCGAAGGCAGGUCUCUGGGCCACUACUGACGCUGAGAAGCGAAAGCAUGGGGAGCGAACAGG
rnacentral:rRNA from 1 species